rnacentral:rRNA from 1 species
CAUGAGACGUGAAUAUAAGACCUGAGUGUAAAGACCUUAGGGUGAUGCAAUUGGAGGGCAAGCUUUGGUGCCAGCAGCCGCGGUAACUCCAACUCCAAGAGUGUCUAUGGUGGAUGCUGCAGUUAAAGGGUCCGUAGUCGUUAAUGCAAUUAAAUAUCGUUGUUCAAUGACGAUGAGUUUGCUAAUAUUUGCGGAACGGAUAGGGAGUGUAGUAUAGACUGGCGAAGAAUGAAAUCUCAAGACCCAGUUUGGACUAACAGAGGCGAAGGCGACACUCUUAGACGUAUCUUAGGAUCAAGGACGAAGGCCGGAGUAUCGAAAGUGAUUAGACACCGCUGUAGUUCCUGCAGUAAACUAUGCCGACAGCCUGUGUGUGAAAAUACGCGGGCGGGAGAAAUCUUAGUGUUCGGGCUCUGGGGAUAGUACGCUCGCAAGGGUGAAACUUAAAGCGAAAUUGACGGAAGGACACUACCAGGAGUGGAUUGUGCUGCUUAAUUUAACUCAACGCGGGAAAACUUACCAGGGUCAAGUCAUUCGU